rnacentral:rRNA from 1 species
GAUCCUGGCUCAGGAUGAACGCUAGCGAUAGGCUUAACACAUGCAAGUCGAGGGGCAGCAUGGUCUUAGCUUGCUAAGACUGAUGGCGACCGGCGCACGGGUGCGUAACGCGUAUGCAACUUGCCUCACAGAGGGGGAUAAACCCGUCGAAAGACGGACUAAUACCGCGUACACUCCACUUUGGGCAUCCAAAGUAGAGGAAAUGAAAUUCGCUGUGAGAUAGGCAUGCG